GAGCUGUGACGAUUAUUGGCGCCUUUAGAGAUGGGGGGAUCUAUCUCACUUGUCUGAUUAAACGACGAAAUAUGGUGCUUCUGAGCUC